CUGGGGUCUCAGCCCCUCAGGCGCUGCUUGUCCUUCCAGCCGCUGUCCUGGCAGAGCCUGGUGCCCAUCCCGACAUCCCGGUUCCUUUGCAGAAACCAGUUGGAGUGGAAUGUCCUGGCCAGGCCUGAUGCAGAGGUGUGGUUGCCUGCCAAUCACCUUACAAGCAAGCCAGCCUGCUGGCCGGCUUGGUGCCAAGAACGGUGUCACCAGGCUGGAUUUGGGCUGGGUGAGCAGGUACACUCAGCUCCAGGAUCUGAAAUGUCUCCUUGAUGUGAUGGGGCUCUGGGACCCCUGUUGCUUUGAGUCUCAUCAUCCUCUGGGGUUGCUCAUGCAACACUGGCUGCACACAGCGUAAGUUAUCCGGAGCAUC